rnacentral:rRNA from 1 species
GACGAACGCUGGCGGCGUGCCUAACACAUGCAAGUCGAGCGGGGUCCAUCCGGUAGCAAUACCGGGGAAGACCUAGCGGCGAACGGGUGAGUAACACGUGAGAAACCUGCCCCGAAGUCUGGGAUAACCCGAGGAAACUCGAGCUAAUACCGGAUGUCUUCUUCUGAUCGCAUGGUCGGAUGAAGAAAAGAUUUUAUCGCUUCGGGAGGUCUCGCGGCCUAUCAGCUAGUUGGCGGGUAACGGCCCACCAAGGCGUCGACGGGUAGCUGGUCUGAGAGGACGAUCAGCCACACUGGGACUGAGACACGGCCCAGACUCCUACGGGAGGCAGCAGUGGGGAAUAUUGCGCAAUGGGCGAAAGCCUGACGCAGCAACGCCGCGUGCGGGAUGAAGGCCCUUCGGGUUGUAAACCGGCUUUCAGUGGGACGAAUUCAGACGGUACCCACACGAAGAAGACCCGGCCACUACGUGCCAGCAGCCGCGGUAA